rnacentral:rRNA from 1 species
AUUGAACGCUGGCGGCAGGCCUAACACAUGCAAGUCGAGCGGAUCGGCGGAAGGGUGAGGAAUGCCUAUGAAGCUGCCUGGUAGUGGGGGAUAAAGUCCGGAAACGGGCGCUAAGCCCGCAGAGUAUCAGAUGAGCCUAGGUGGGAUUAGCUAGUUGGUGGGGUAAAGGCCUCCCAAGGCGACGAUCCGUAACGGGUCUGAGAGGAUGAUCAGUCACACUGGAACUGAGAAACGGUACAGAAUCCUACGGGAGGCAGCAGUGGGGAAUAUUGGACAAUGGGCGAAAGCCUGAUCCAGCCAUGCCGCGUGUGUGAAGAAGGUCUUCGGAUUGUAAAGCACUUUAAGUUGGGAGGCGUUCCCAACCUCUUAAGCACCGGCUAACUUCGUGCCAGCAGCCGCGGUAAUUC